UGAAGACAAAAUCAUUGGAAAGAAGCGAGU
rnacentral:piRNA from 1 species